GACAUAUGUCGCAUGGCAGGCUCCCNGUACCUAUGUGCGGCUAACUGUCAUGGGGCGGUCUNUAUGCUGUCCCUUNGAUUAUUGAUUUGGCUCGUUAGGUGGCUGUUGUAUUUGGUUGCUUGUGUGGUUUUAUCCUYGUYGGAAGCACAGUUGUCCCGUCGUUGUGCUCUCAGCUUGCUUUGUCGAUGCUAUGCAUCGANGNGUGGCCGAGGCAUUAGCAAAGUCGAUGNGUUGCAAUGCACUUGUGACCUGUAACUGCUAUUGAAUUCYUGCUGGGUCUCACGGAUAUCAGUCCCUAUAUUGAGAGGUCUACGGGUUUUAGGCUUGUGGACCYAUGAGGUUGCCCUAACACGUAUCAUUGUUASUGANGYUCCGCUGACAUGUNGNGGNNUAUGCCUCAUGCUUGCGGAUCU
rnacentral:misc_RNA from 1 species